rfam:Candidatus Omnitrophica bacterium 4484_70.2 ex4484_70.2_scaffold_92512, whole genome shotgun sequence.
GGAGGGGUGCGAGAGCCUGGUUGAAUCGGCACGACUGGAAAUCGUGUAGCCCGCCAAAAGCGGGCUCGAGGGUUCAAAUCCCUCCCCCUCCG